GACGAACGCUGGCGGCGUGCUUAACACAUGCAAGUCGAACGGAAAGGCCCUGCUUUUGUGGGGUGCUCGAGUGGCGAACGGGUGAGUAGCACGUGAGUAACCUGCCCUUGACUUUGGGAUAACUUCAGGAAACUGGGGCUAAUACCGGAUAGGAGCUCCUGCUGCAUGGUGGGGGUUGGAAAGUUUCGGCGGUUGGGGAUGGACUCGCGGCUUAUCAGCUUGUUGGUGGGGUAGUGGCUUACCAAGGCUUUGACGGGUAGCCGGCCUGAGAGGGUGACCGGCCACAUUGGGACUGAGAUACGGCCCAGACUCCUACGGGAGGCAGCAGUGGGGAAUAUUGCACAAUGGGCGGAAGCCUGAUGCAGCAACGCCGCGUGCGGGAUGACGGCCUUCGGGUUGUAAACCGCUUUCGCCUGUGACGAAGCGUGAGUGACGGUAAUGGGUAAAGAAGCACCGGCUAACUACGUGCCAGCAGCCGCGGUGAUACGUAGGGUGCGAGCGUUGUCCGGAUUUAUUGGGCGUAAAGGGCUCGUAGGUGGUUGAUCGCGUCGGAAGUGUAAUCUUGGGGCUUAACCCUGAGCGUGCUUUCGAUACGGGUUGACUUGAGGAAGGUAGGGGAGAAUGGAAUUCCUGGUGGAGCGGUGGAAUGCGCAGAUAUCAGGAGGAACACCAGUGGCGAAGGCGGUUCUCUGGGCCUUUCCUGACGCUGAGGAGCGAAAGCGUGGGGAGCGAACAGGCUUAGAUACCCUGGUAGUCCACGCUGUAAACGGUGGGUACUAGGUGUGGGGUCCAUUCCACGGGUUCCGUGCCGUAGCUAACGCUUUAAGUACCCCGCCUGGGGAGUACGGCCGCAAGGCUAAAACUCAAAGGAAUUGACGGGGCCCCGCACAAGCGGCGGAGCAUGCGGAUUAAUUCGAUGCAACGCGUAGAACCUUACCUGGAUUUGACAUGGAUCGGGAGUGCUCAGAGAUGGGUGUGCCUCUUUUGGGGUCGGUUCACAGGUGGUGCAUGGCUGUCGUCAGCUCGUGUCGUGAGAUGUUGGGUUAAGUCCCGCAACGAGCGCAACCCUUGUUCACUGUUGCCAGCACGUUAUGGUGGGGACUCAGUGGAGACCGCCGGGGUCAACUCGGAGGAAGGUGGGGAUGACGUCAAGUCAUCAUGCCCCUUAUGUCCAGGGCUUCACGCAUGCUACAAUGGCUGGUACAGAGAGUGGCGAGCCUGUGAGGGUGAGCGAAUCUCGGAAAGCCGGUCUCAGUUCGGAUUGGGGUCUGCAACUCGACCUCAUGAAGUCGGAGUCGCUAGUAAUCGCAGAUCAGCAACGCUGCGGUGAAUACGUUCCCGGG
rnacentral:rRNA from 1 species